CCUUAAAUAUUAAUAGAUAUAUUCUUUAAACUUGAAUAAUUUGGCGGUGAUUUAAUCUUGUUAGAGGAACCUGUUUUUGGAUCGAUAAACCACGCAGAAUCUUACUCACUUUACCGUAGCAUAUAUACCGUCAUUAUCAGACAAUUUUUAAAAAAUUAAUUGUUAUAAGUUAUAAAUAAUUAAAUCAAAUUAGAUCAAGGUGUAGCUUAUGAGUGAGCUAAAAUGGGUUACAAUAAAAUUUAUUUACUAUGAAACGGAUACUAUAAUGAUGAACCAGGAAGGAGGAUUUAAUUGUAAUUUUGGUUUAAUAAGCCAAAAAGACAUAAGCUCUAAAUCAU
rnacentral:rRNA from 1 species